CUAUACAUGCAAGUCGAGCGAAUGGAUUAAGAGCUUGCUCUUAUGAAGUUAGCGGCGGACGGGUGAGUAACACGUGGGUAACCUGCCCAUAAGACUGGGAUAACUCCGGGAAACCGGGGCUAAUACCGGAUAACAUUUUGAACCGCAUGGUUCGAAAUUGAAAGGCGGCUUCGGCUGUCACUUAUGGAUGGACCCGCGUCGCAUUAGCUAGUUGGUGAGGUAACGGCUCACCAAGGCAACGAUGCGUAGCCGACCUGAGAGGGUGAUCGGCCACACUGGGACUGAGACACGGCCCAGACUCCUACGGGAGGCAGCAGUAGGGAAUCUUCCGCAAUGGACGAAAGUCUGACGGAGCAACGCCGCGUGAGUGAUGAAGGCUUUCGGGUCGUAAAACUCUGUUGUUAGGGAAGAACAAGUGCUAGUUGAAUAAGCUGGCACCUUGACGGUACCUAACCAGAAAGCCACGGCUAACUACGUGCCAGCAGCCGCGGUAAUACGUAGGUGGCAAGCGUUAUCCGGAAUUAUUGGGCGUAAAGCGCGCGCAGGUGGUUUCUUAAGUCUGAUGUGAAAGCCCACGGCUCAACCGUGGAGGGUCAUUGGAAACUGGGAGACUUGAGUGCAGAAGAGGAAAGUGGAAUU
rnacentral:rRNA from 1 species